rnacentral:rRNA from 1 species
GCUGACUUAACGACUAAACACAAAUAUACACUACUCAAACAAACAAAUCAUUUGCCACACUCAGUAGAUGCGAUCGAACAGUAACAAGUCACAACAAU